rnacentral:rRNA from 1 species
GAAAAGAAACCAACAGGGAUUGCCCCAGUAAUGGCGAAUGAAGCGGCAAGAGCCCAAAUUUGAAAUCGGGCAACCGAGUUGUAAUUUGGAGACGGGACACUAGAGAGGAGGAAGGCGAUUAAGUGCCUUGGAACAGGCUGCCGUAGAGGGUGAGAGCCCCGUGAAUCGCUGGAGACCGAUCAAUUAGUGCCCGCCGAAGAGUCGAGUUGUUUGGGAAUGCAGCUCUAAGUGGGUGGUAUAUUCCAUCUAAGGCUAAAUAUUAGCGAGAGACCGAUAGCAAACAAGUACAGUGAUGGAAAGAUGAAAAGAACUUUGGAAAGAGAGUGAAAUAGUACGUGAAAUUGUUGAAAGGGAAGGGUAUUUGAUCCGACAUGGUGUUUAGCAGCGGCCCGUUCCUCGUGGAUGGGUGCACCUGGUUUACACUGGGCCAGCAUCGGUUCUGGGAGCCAUAUACGGGGUUCGUGAAUGUGGCCCUUCGAUUCUGUCGGAGGGUGUUAUAGCGCGGACAUCUUGUGGCUAGCCGGGACCGGGGACUGCGGUGACUUGUCACCAAGGAUGCUGGCAGAACGAGCAAAUACCACCCGUCUUGA